GACGAACGCUGGCGGCGUGCUUAACACAUGCAAGUCGAACGGAAAGGCCUCUUUCGGGGGGUACUCGAGUGGCGAACGGGUGAGUAACACGUGAGUAACCUGCCCUUGACUUUGGGAUAACUUCAGGAAACUGGGGCUAAUACCGGAUAGGAGCUCCUGCUGCAUGGUGGGGGUUGGAAAGUUUCGGCGGUUGGGGAUGGACUCGCGGCUUAUCAGCUUGUUGGUGGGGUAGUGGCUUACCAAGGCUUUGACGGGUAGCCGGCCUGAGAGGGUGACCGGCCACAGUGGGACUGAGAUACGGCCCAGACUCCUACGGGAGGCAGCAGUGGGGAAUAUUGCACAAUGGGUGGAAGCCUGAUGCAGCAACGCCGUGUGCGGGAUGACGGCCUUCGGGUUGUAAACCGCUUUCACUCAUGACGAAGCUUUGUGUGACGGUAGUGGGUAAAGAAGCACCGGCUAACUACGUG
rnacentral:rRNA from 1 species